rnacentral:rRNA from 1 species
AAAACAACCCUACGGGAGGCAGCAGUGGGGAAUAUUGGACAAUGGGCGCAAGCCUGAUCCAGCCAUACCGCGUGGGUGAAGAAGGCCUUCGGGUUGUAAAGCCCUUUUGUUGGGAAAGAAAUCCAGUCGGCUAAUACCCGGUUGGGAUGACGGUACCCAAAGAAUAAGCACCGGCUAACUUCGUGCCAGCAGCCGCGGUAAUACGAAGGGUGCAAGCGUUACUCGGAAUUACUGGGCGUAAAGCGUGCGUAGGUGGUUGUUUAAGUCUGCUGUGAAAGCCCUGGGCUCAACCUGGGAAUUGCAGUGGAUACUGGGCGACUAGAGUGUGGUAGAGGAUAGU